AAGAAAAAGAAAAAUAAAAGAAAAUUUUAAUUAUUACAUCAUGCUUGAGUAAGCAUGAUGCAAUUAAAAAGUCUCACCCAAUCAUAAAUUGACAAAACUAAUUAAAAGAGUAAAUAGAAAAUUAAAAAGGGAUAAAAUCAGCCAUCCUCUUCACUCAUCCCUCCCAUGGCCGAAAAUCACUUCCUCUCUCCUGGUUAGUGCCAUUUUCUUCCAUUACUUUUCUUGUAAAUUUGAAAUUUAGUAUAAAUAUGAAAAGAAUUUCAAGGGAAAUUGAGAAAUUAUUCAUGUUUAAUUCAAAAGGGAUUUUGGCCAGCUUAUGUAGUUAAGUGAAUUGAUGAAUUUAAAUGAAAUA
rnacentral:misc_RNA from 1 species